rnacentral:rRNA from 1 species
UACGUAGGGUGCAAGCGUUAUCCGGAAUUAUUGGGCGUAAAGAGCGUGUAGGCGGCCUGAAAGGUCAGCUGGGAAAACUAGAGGCUCAACCUCGAGACGUCGGUUGAAACCAUCUGGCUAGAGUCCGGAAGAGGAGAGUGGAAUUCCCGGUGUAGCGGUGAAAUGCGCAGAUAUCGGGAAGAACACCCGUGGCGAAGGCGGCUCUCUGGGACGGUACUGACGCUGAGACGCGAAAGCGUGGGGAGCGAACAGG